rnacentral:lncRNA from 1 species
CGUUGGACCACUGAUACUUUCUGGGCGAUGGUUUGCCCUCACUUCCCAUUCCUGAGUUUGGAUGACGGUGCAUGCAAGUGUCUGACCUUUGCUUCUGCUCAGCACUUCUGGAGUUGCCAUGCAAGAGACUGUAUUUACCUCCAAACUUUACAUUGUACUUCGAGGAAGAAGGAAAAUCACUGGAAAGAAGUGACCUCCUCAGAAAUCAGAGAUUUUCUAGAAAAAUUUGGCAGGGAGAGGGACAUGGAGACCUGUAUGUGAGUCAAGGAUCAGAUAGCAUCGGCUGUGGAUCUAGACUCUACUGCAGCAACGGAUGGAAGCCCAAGAAGACACACUUUGCUUUGGAUGCUUGGAACAACUGU